GUACACGCUGUGACUAGCAUAUCAAUAAGCGGAGGAAAAGAAACUAACAAGGAUUCCCUUAGUAACGGCGAGUGAAGCGGGAAGAGCUCAAAUUUGAAAUCUUCAAGGUCUUACCUUGACGAAUUGUAGUUUAAAGAAGUGCUUUCUGCUGAAGUUUUGGUAAAAGUUCUUUGGAAUAGGACAUCAUAGAGGGUGAGAAUCCCGUAUUUGACCAUUAUUUUCAGCUUUGUGAUACACUUUCAAAGAGUCGGAUUGUUUGGGAAUGCAGUCCAAAAUGGGUGGUAAAUUUCAUCUAAAGCUAAAUAUUGGCGAGAGACCGAUAGCGAACAAGUACCGUGAGGGAAAGAUGAAAAGAACUUUGAAAGGAGAGUUAAACAGUACGUGAAAUUGUCAAAAGGGAAGCGUUUGACACCAGUGUUGUUUUCUCGAAAAUCAAUUAAAAAUGGCUCGAUUUUGUAUUGCUGAGACCUUAAAAGCUCACUGUACAUUUUUCGUGUCUUUUUUAAUGCACUUUUCGUUUAACAAGUCAACAUCAGUUUCUUUUGUUGUAAAAGGGUCAUUGGAAGGUGGCUUUCUUUUCGGAGAAAGUGUUUAUAGCCUUUGGCCUCUGCAAUCGGAGAGACUGAGGUCUGCAGCGUAGACUCUUCGGGGUUAGAUACAUUUGUGCUAAGUAUAGCUUUUUAUAGACAACUUGUUGACUAUAAUUAGUCUUGUAGCUUACUCGCUUAUGCUAUUUUACCUACGCUUAGGAUGUUGAUCUACAGAGCGAGAGU
rnacentral:rRNA from 1 species